GGAGACGUGACAGAACGGCAAUGUAAGAUCCGCUCCGGGCAGUUAGGUGGAAUAUCUCCCGGCAGCGAAACCACCGUGCGGGGUUCGAGUCCCCGCCGUCUCCACCA
rnacentral:tRNA from 1 species